GUCCACACUUGAUGCCUUGCUUUACAUGUUAGAGGAAACAGCCUGAGGUUGUGAGCACACAUUUCCUCCCGUACCUUCCUCUAGUCACCCAACAGCAAUGCCAGAACUCUUCCUAGCGAGGGUCAGUGUGCAGAGUGCCGUCUGGAUAGGGUUUGACAUUACCACGUCCAUCUCUCAAGAAUUCAGGACCUGUGCUAUGGAGGAGGCCUGGGCACCAUCUUAAGAUGCCAAAUGCCAGCUGCUGCCCAGGGAUCAGUGGCUGUCAGGAUGGAUGGAAUCUCGUCCAGAGAAAUCUCUGUGACUGUAUGAGGUGCUGGGGGUAGGGAGAGGUACACAGAUCUCACUCCAGGGAUCUUCACCCUGCGCAUCUCUCCCUGACCCCGGAGUAAGAGUAUACUUGUUGUUGUUGUGGGGGAGGAGGAGAUGGAGGGCUAUUCUGCCAUUGAGAAGAAGCCUCGGAGUCUAAUGCUUCAAAGGCAGAGGAAAGCUGCUAGUAGCUGGGUUCUGGUGAAGGAGAGGAAGAGCUGGAGGACACAGGAUGUGUAGGAAGUCACUGUCACAAUGAUACCAAGCCAUUUUUGCCAUCUAAGGCUAUUAAACUCAUCAGCAGCGUAGGCAGACUACCUAAAGAGCAAGCCACGGUCCUGGGGCAACUGGUGGGUCUGUUCAUGACGAGAUAAGACUGGGGCUGUUCUCAAAGACAUACACAUCUGAUGGCGAUGCAGCUACACCCAAGAACAGAGUGCAAGAGCCUCAGGAACAAAUGUAGAAUUACACAGUAGUCUACUGCCAUGGAAACCACAGACAAAUGUUACAAAGAGACAACCAGAAGCCCCAGCAGCCUUCAUAAGAUCAUGGAAAAAACUAACUACGUGGGCCUGUGGGCCAACUUUAGAGACUUCAGCUCCUCUAAGCCACCGCCAUCUGUUUGAUGCUCUUGUUGAUACCUGUUUAUAUGGUUUUGAUGGUUUAUUCUGGUGGCCAUGGGGCAUGCCCAUUGACGUGACCAGCUGCAAACGUCAGGUAUGCAUUCACAAGAUACAAAAAGUCAUUCCGUACAUACAGAAGACCCAGGAAUAGGCUCACUUCAAAAGACAAAAUAGUCAACAGGGCUAGGGAUACAGCUCAGUUGGUAUUGUUUGCUCGGCAUGCAUGAAGUCCUGGAUCCAAUCUAGAAAUGGAAUAACCCACCUGUCUAUAGUCUCCAAACUCAGGAGGUGACAGUAAGAUCAAGAGUUCAAAAUCAUCCUCAAAUACUGAAUAUGUUCAAAGCCAGUCUGAGAUACAAGAGAGUCUGCCUCAAGAAAAGGGAGACGGGCUUGAUGUCACCCUCACUCCAAUCUCAACCUGCUGGGUGAGGGAUUUGGGGGCUUGUUUGAUCUAAUCGGUUGAGCUAAAGGAAAGACGUGCUAAGAAAGGGGAGCUGCAAAAGACAACUCUGUCUCCAUUGAUUAACCAAGAGUCGAUGUAGAGCUUCUAAUGGAGGUUGGAGCACAGAAUCAGGGGUUCUCAGCCUGGGGAGUAUGGGCCAGACGCUUCUCUGCGGGAGAGGAUGCCCCUAGCAUUCUGGCUUAUCUGGCAGUACCCCUGGCUUCUGCUAACUGGCCAGCCCCGCAUCCCAUCGCAUGAAUUGAAAGGCUCUGCCAGACGACAGUCCCUGCUGCAGAGGGGUGUUGGAGCGCUGGCCACCCAGGGUUGCUCCUGCUGCUGGUUUUGGAGAGGUUUUAAGUUCCAAAAUGGAAAUAUAAUUAUGGGAGAGAUCAGCAGGGGUCAUGGAAUCCAAUGUGGCUCAGAUCUGAGUGACAUGUGGCAUCUUUCCAGGUAUUUCAAGGAUUCACAGUGUCGAUGUAAUUGGUUCCCUAAGAUUCUUAGUUAAACAUGGCACCCAUAAAACUGGCAAACUUCCCACAGGCUUGUGGCUUUUUUACAGGUAUAAACUCAAACUGAACCCAAGCACAACAUACCAAAUAUAAUAGCAAUCCAACUCAUGUAACGGUGUGGUGAGGGUUUGUGAAGAUGCCCUGUACUCUGAACUUGGGUACCAGCCUGAUUAGAUUGGGCUUGCCCUGUCUGUAUUGCCCAAAUCUCACUAGAUAUUAUGUUUUCAGCAUUCUGUGGACUCUCUGUUUAUGAGGUUUCCUUGAAGUUGUUUGGUCAAUGUGUAUUCUGCCCACUCAGGUCACCUGUGUUUUCUUAUUAGCCUAAGGCAGCUGAAAGCACACCCCGUUCCCAGUCGGAUCACAGAUAUUAAUUGGUUAGCUUUGGGGUGGACCUAUGACCCCAGAAGCAGCUCAUAAGAAUCUAGAUUCUUAGCAAAAUGAAAAUAUCUGAGGAGAGCACUGGACUUCUGAUCCUCCUGCAUCUGCCUCCCAAAGGACUGGGGUCACAGGCAGUGCUACCAUGCUGAUAUUGGAGAUGAACCUCAGGGCUUUGUGCACACCCAGAAAGCAUUCUAUCAAUGAGCUACAUCCCCAGCCCUGAAAAUAAUUUGUAUUUUUUUUAAGUUAAAAGUUUUUACAAAGGCUUCCCAAGGACAUAUUAGCAGGUUCUCAACAGAGCUCAAAUAGGCCUGAGCUCUUUAUGGGAAAGAGCUGAGGCCAGAGAGCUUCCCAGAGUGUGUGUGUGUGUGUGUGUGUGUCUAUGCAUGCACAUGUGUGUAUGUGUGUGUAUGCUUGUAUGCUUAUGUGUGUAUACAUGUAUGUGUGUAUGCGUGUGUAUGUGUAUAUGUGUGUGUGCUUGUGCAUGUGUGUGUGUGUUAUGGUAUGCUUGUGUGUAUGCUUGUAUGCUUAGUGUGUAUGUGUGUGUACAUGUAUGUGUGUGUGUCUGUGAGUGCACAUGUGUGUGUAUACUUACAUGCUUAGGUGUGUAUACAUGUUUGUGUGUAUGCAUGUGUAUGUAUGUGUAUGUGUGUAUGUGUAUGUAUAUAUGUGUGUGUGUGCUUGUGCAUGUGUGUGUGUUAUGGUAUGCUUGUGUGUAUGCUUGUAUGCUUAGGUGUGUAUGUGUGUGUACAUGUGUGUGUGUGUGUGUGUGUGUGUGUGUGUAAGGCUCUGUGUGGGUGGAAGCCUAGUUGCUAAGGUCACAGCAGACAUCAAGUCUGGAGCCAGACUUCUUUCCGUUCUUCUUCUCACCGCACAGCCUGCCUGGAUGCUGAGGUGCGCUCUGAUGAGCAGCAUUGCCUUAAAUGUCCAUUAAGCUGAGCUGCACGCCUCAAGUGCAUUUGGGAAAGGCACUGAAAUCCAAAUCACGAUGCAGAACUGUAGGCUCCUCCAGCACCAUGUCUGCCUGAAUGGUGCUAUGCUUCCUACCAUGAUGAUAAUGGCCUGAACCUCUAAAACUAUGGAGCAAAGAUAUCUAUGAGAAUAUUUGCACAGAGUCAUGUGAAGAUGACCCUACCAGUGAGAAAUCAAAAUGGCAGCCCACUACGGGGAACUAAGGAAAACGGAUUAAUAUAGGAGUGCUGUGUGAAUACACCACCAACCAAGGGCUCUUUUAACACGAAUCCCUCAAAACGAGUGGUUCCUGCCCAACACAAGUGGAUUUGACUCUAAAGACUUUGGAGAAAGGAGACGAUGACACUAGCAGUUUGAUCUGAAUCGACUUAUGAAAUGUUAGUUUCAAUAAAAUCUUAA